CGUGAAUUAGUGGGAAGAAAGGUUUGAAAAUACAUCUGCAGAAAAUGAAUAGAUUUAUCGGUCCAAAAAUGAAUAGCGUGAAUUAAAUGCACCCAACUAAAUAAAAUUACACCCUGUUACUAUUUUCAAUAUCUGUUGUUCUUGGAAAGGAAAUUUCUGGAGGCAUCGUCCAAAAUUUUGAGGCGGCGCGAACUUUGUGUGAUAAUAUUUCCGGUCUUCUUCAAUCCAUUUUCCGGCGAUGGCACGAACCAAGGGCGGCGGUCAGAGCGGUGAGAUUUGUAUGAAUGGCCAUUGUUCUUCAUCUGAAUUUUUUCGCAAUUUCAAGGAGUUUUCGGUCGAUGGUUCAACAGAAACUGAAUUUAUACGAAAAUGUUGUGUGGGUGCUUUUAGUGGUGGUCCCUAUUUGUCGUUUUCAGAUCUAUGUGGAUAAAGAAUGCAUUUGUGGGGUUGUUGAUAGAUUAGUGUCGGACAAUUAUUCAAUGUGUUGUGUUCGUUGACCAUCGAUUACACGUGUGUUUCCUCGUUCUAAAACUGCUUUUUUUUUUAAUAAAUUACUAUUUGGGAGGUGGGGGUUUUGUUUUUUCUCUUUUUUUUGGGGGUGUAAACUGUUGAUUUUAGAAUGAAUUUUUUUAUAUGAUGUUUAUGUAAACUGUAAAUGUGAAGGGAAUGCUGGAAAAUCCAGCAAGGGGAAAGGUAUUAUUAAAGGAGCGGCGGUGGUUAAGCGAGGCAUUACUGCAAAAAAAGGUGACGACUUUUUGUGUGACUAAUGUGUGAAUUUUCUGGUGUGUGAUAUAAUCUUAUUUUGUCAAUAAUCUGCUGUGUGAUAACACUUUGAGAAUGUGUGUG
rnacentral:lncRNA from 1 species